rnacentral:rRNA from 1 species
GUAGGGGGCAAGCGUUAUCCGGAUUUACUGGGCGUAAAGCGCGUGCAGGCGGCUUGGUAGGUUGGACGUGAAAGCUCUCGGCUCAACUGAGAGAGGCCGUUCAAUACCGCCAGGCUUGAGGGCGGAAGAGGAGAGUGGAAUUCCCGGUGUAGUGGUGGAAUGCGUAGAUAUCGGGAGGAACACCCGUGGCGAAGGCGGCUCUCUGGUCCGUACCUGACGCUAAAGCGCGAAAGCGUGGGGAGCAAACGGGAUUAGAUACCCCGGGUAGUCCACGCUGUAAACGAUGGAUGCUAGGUGUAGGUGGUAUUGACCCCCAUCUGUGCCGUAGCUAACGCGAUAAGCAUCCCCGCCUGGGGACUACGGCCGCAAGGUUA